rnacentral:misc_RNA from 1 species
GAUGAAGAACGUAGCGAAAUGCGAUAAGUAAUGUGAAUUGCAGAAUUCAGUGAAUCAUCGAAUCUUUGAACGCACAUUGCACCCGCCAGUAUUCUGGCGGGCAUGCCUGUUCGAGCGUCAUUUCAACCAUCAAGCCCCCGGCUUGUGUUGGGGACCUGCGGCUGCCGCAGGCCCUGAAAACCAGUGGCGGGCUCGCUAGUCACUCCGAGCGUAGUAAUACAUCUCGCUCAGGGCGUGCUGCGGGUUCCGGCCGUUAAAAGCCUUAUUUUACCCAAGGUUGACCUCGGAUCAGGUAGGAAGACCCGCUGAACUUAAGCAUAUCAAUAAGCGGAGGA